CCUACGGGAGGCUGCAGUGGGGAAUAUUGCGCAAUGGGGGGAACCCUGACGCAGCAACGCCGCGUGAAGGAUGAAGGUCUUCGGAUUGUAAACUUCUUUGGCAGGGGACGAACAAGGACGGUACCCUGAGAACAAGCCACGGCUAACUACGUGCCAGCAGCCGCGGUAAUACGUAGGUGGCGAGCGUUGUCCGGAAUUACUGGGUGUAAAGGGCGUGUAGGCGGGGAUGUAAGUCAGAUGUGAAAGCCCAAGGCUUAACUUUGGGACUGCAUCUGAAACUAUAUUUCUUGAGUGCUGUAGAGGAAAGCGGAAUUCCCAGUGUAGCGGUGAAAUGCGUAGAGAUUGGGAGGAACACCAGUGGCGAAGGCGGCUUUCUGGACAGUAACUGACGCUGAGGCGCGAAAGCGUGGGGAGCAAACAGGAUUAGAUACCCCGGUAGUC
rnacentral:rRNA from 1 species